UAGUGAGCUAAAGUUCGGGGGUUUGACUGAA
rnacentral:piRNA from 1 species